GAGACAGCAGCUGAAAAAUUCUAUAUGGCCUGUGGAGACAGCAUAGAGAGUCUUGGAUAAAUGGGGGGAAGAUUACCAAAACAUCCUUUUUGGCUUUCUGGCUGCUUCUCACAUCUGUUGCUCUCAGACAGGAAGGGAUCGACAAUGAGGGGGCUCAUUAAUGCCCCGAGACCAACAAAGAAGUGAAGAGCCUGAGGGGAGAUCAGAGAUAACCAAGACAUGAAGGAAAAUCAGCAAUGAUGUUCUGCUAGGAUACUAAUUCAAAAAAAAUUCCAAGAGAUGACUGCAGUUUAAUUAGUAGGAGCCUGAUGAAAGGAAUCUGUAAUGAAGACCCAACUUAUUCACAUUGUCAGAAUAUUUCAAUUUAGCCAUAUAAAAAUUGUGUUUAUUUUUUCCAAAGAUGUUACUGUUGUUAAUAUCAUAAUUUUCAUCUGCAUUCCAACCUCAAAAACAAUGCUGUUCAUUUCAAUGCACAUACUAUGUAAUAUUAUUGUUAUUGCAUGGCUGCUACCAAACCAAAGCAUGUGCUACAUUUUCAACGGGGCCAUUGAGGGCACAAAUAAACCCUGAUGUGGCCCAGGCUGGAAUUGAGUUUGACACCCUUGUUUUAAGCUGUUCCUCGACCAAUAAGCGUUAACACGCGUCCGACAUUGAGGGAUUGUGGACGCGUGCACAACAGCACCGCUGCUGGAAAAAAAUCCUAGGGGAAACACUGAACUCUGCGUUUUAUUCACUUUCACACAAAUCACAAGUACAACGGCUGAUUAUGAUUUUAUAAACACUUUUUUUCACACUUUACUCAGACACUGCUAUGAUAUUGACACACUUUUACUAUAAUGCAUCAUUUGAAAAACAUUUUAAUGCUUGUAUUACAGACCCACCUACAAUAACACUUAUUACAGAGAGCUUGCUCGGUAGCGCACCUGAUAGAGUGUCAGACUUUAGACUCAGAGACCGAGGUUUGAGACCAGCCAAGCAUGCAAGCUGACACAUGAGAUGAAAGUGUAGCACCAUGAAAUGACGAGGCUACUUCACAAAUUACUUUUUUUAUGUGGAAUUUGCAUUUUAAAACACUAUUGGUUAAGUUUAGGCUAAUGUUUUAGACUAGGGUGUAAGUUUUACUCAUUAAAACCUCUAUCUAAAAUUCACCUUGAAAACCUUAUAUGAUUACAACAUCAUUUCACUGGGUUUUGGUGCCCCCUCCUGGACAUUUCACUGGGAAACUGCAGGGAAACGUGUAAUGAAGUAAUUUUCACGUAAGUUUGUUUUGCAAAAAUGUGGCCACGGUCACGUAUAUUUAAUGAGAUCAGGAUGCAUAUUUUAUUAACUUUACCCCUUAACCAAAAUUCCAACACAAACCUAAGCAUCAAUGGAGUAAAAAUGAAUUUUUGGAGCAAAAAUGUAACCUCCGAAGCAUGUUGACCAUUAUUUAAGUGAACGUGGGACCAGAACCCAUAUCUUGAAGGUCAGUAGCGCUAGAGGGAAAGAUGUUCACACUUGAUGAAAAAAAAAAUCUGAUGGGAGAUGGUGCUUGUCAGUAUCACCCUCUGUAGUGCCCCCUUGAAUCACCCUUGAUUUCAGGGUACAGGGAAUUGAUUUCCCAUAUGAGCAUGCAGGUUUAGGCAGUAUAUGGUUGUCAAGCAAUCUAACAACUUGGUAUAUUAAUAUAAAAUGUGUGGUCACAUGUGCAUUUGACACUUUUUCAGAUGUUCAUCCAAUUAGAUACUGUAUAUUGAACAGUGGUGUCUUUUAUCACAUUUCUGUUGCCGUAAUUUUAAUAAGGCUUUGAAUUAGCUUUUAAUAAGCCAAUCGAAGCUGUACGUUACAGUGAUUUACCACCCUACUUUCUGUUGUACCUAACAAAACCCCUUAAACAUGGUAAAAACACUGUAAUGCAUGUCCUCUUGUGCCAUAUUGCUUUAAUUUGACUUAAAAUUGAUGUGUGAAAAGAAAUGUAUUAAUUUUGAUUAGUCCAAAUAAUCUUUUAAGUUUCUGUCUGUAGAAAAUUGAGUAAGUUCUUCGAGUCAGUGUACUAUAAUAUUUCUUAGAUGAAUCAUUUUUUACCUUUUUGUAUAUUGUAGACAAACUGGUUUUUGUCUUCUCAUGGAAGACUUAAUGUUAUGCACUAACAAUAUCUUUAGAAAUAACAGGUUUAAACCGGUUGUGAGAGCACCCUUUUAAAAAAUGUCAAGUUUGUUGGAGCAAUUAUAUACGCCAGUAGCUUAUUCUAAAAGACGUGAGAAGUGAUGCUACAAUAUAAUCAGCCAGCAGUAUUAUUGUGUCCUAUUACACAAUCUAACUUGUCUAAAUUUUCAUUCAAGUUUCUUUUUCAACUUUACAAAAAGUGCCCACCUGCAGGAAAACAGUGGAGUCUUUCUGGUAAAUCUUCACCAACUGCAGGUUAGAUAUGGUGUCAAUGAUGCCCAUGGCGAGACCAGACACCGCCAAGGCAAACGCCAGCAAAAGUAACUUCUGGCAUAGUGGGAUGAUGGCA